GUGUAUGUCCAGGGCCAGUUCCUUGCCAGGCUGGGGGAGAUUCCCCCACAGAGCCCAGCAGGACAGCCCAGAGCUCUGCCGUGGUGGAUGCACUGGUCUAACAGCCUGCAGGGUCAGAUUUGGCAGAGCACAGGAUCCAGUGGGGGAUUUUUUGGGGCUGAAGCUGGCUGGGCUUGGAAAGAUUAUGCUCAUCUCUGCCAGGAGUUCGGGGGCUGCUUGGACACCUCAGGCAGCGUGCAUCACUGCCAGAAGGAAAGGGAACUUCUUCCACUCGUGCUGUUGACUGGGGAUUGCCUGGGCUCACUUAGGGGAGAGAAAAGUGUGCAGACAACUUCCAAGGGACUUAUCCUAAUUUUGUUCUUCUCUCUGUUUUUUCCCUGCUGCUGUUGCUGCUUCUCCCCAUGUGCAGUCAUCGCUGAUGAGCUGGAGCUGAGUCUGACCGACGGGCCCGACCGCUGUGCAGGCAAUGUGGAAAUCGACUAUUUUGGAAUGAGCGCAAAAGUGUGUGGCUUCCAGUGGGACAUGAACGAUGCUCAGGUUGUGUGCAGGCAGCUUGGCUGCGGCUCACCUGUCAGCGUGAUGGAGUAUUUCCCCUCGAGCGAUUCAUAUCCAUGGUACCAGAGGACCGCGGUGGCUUGUGACGGCUCUGAAACCUCUUUGCUGUUUUGCCCUUAUGACUACAUGUCCUCUGACUGCGAUCACGGGGCUGCUUCUGUCAUCUGCUCAGUUCCGUGACUAACAGAGCCCCCAGUGAAAGAACCGGACUCUUUUGGCAUCCUGGAGAACAUGAAUUCAGCUCCUGCUCCAAUUGGUAUCUCUCAUACUCCAUUUAUUACUGCUGUCAUGGCCCUGACAGCUGCUGUUCCCACUCUUGUUGGUUUCUUUUGAAACACAGUGAAGAAAUCAAUUCCAUAUCAGAUCACAUGAGAUUUGGUAAACACCUGCAGGUGAUCACAUUGGUUGAGUAAUUUGAUGGAUUGAGUAAAGUCCUUGCAUUGAGUAAUCUCCUCGACAAUUCAAGAUUAAAGGCUUUCUGUGGUGAUAGAUAACCUCAUGGGAAGAGAUGGGCUUGACAUAACUCAGCACUGAAUGAAGCCAGAAGACCAGCAAAGGUUUGCAGCCAAGUAACAACCUUCAAAUUAGUCAGUUGCCACCUACAAUAUUAGGCUGUUAAAUCUUAACACUCCAUCUUAAUCAGCUUCCUCCUCUCAAGAUGGAUAUCUGGCCUCUGCCAGUGAAAAAUAUAGCCUGGGUUGUGGGGAACCCACAUGGCCAGUUCUUGCUCCACACCAAACAAGAGUUUGUUUCUAGUUUCCUCAGAUGUAAAUUAAGAUCAAUAGCCCUUCCUUUCCACAGGGGAGUUGUGAGUCCAUCAGACAAUGCGUGCUGCAUGAUAACCAGUAACAGGACCUACCUAAGUACCUCUGAACGGCAACAGAUAUCAGAAAGGCUCCACAAUAAAUCAUGAUGUGAUGUGUGUAUUUCAAUUUACCUUUCAGGCAAGGGUAGGACUAUUGAAGCUUCCCUGCAAUGUUUUCUGUUGCUACUACAGUCAGUGCUAGUAGGCAAAAUAUUUGAAUACAAGUACUGCUUUAAUACUUUGGUAAGAUUCCUUUUAAGUCCUGUUCUAUCACUUCAGAUUUUCUGAGGUGGAGAUGAAAUUUUGCAUGGCAUAAUCAAAUGUUCCAGAUGGAUAAAAUUUUAUGCAGCUAAAAUACCUAGACAAGCAUACAUGACUGAAAAAAAAAAAAAAAGAGAGAGAGAAAUGAUUCUUCCAAUUGCGUAUGGAUCCUGAUAUAUAAUGUCUGGAUGUUUUAUGACUAGUUCUUCAGGAAGAUUCUUGUUGAGAAAAUGUAGAUUUGAGCUACUUUCAAUUAUGGCUGAUUUUCAAUAUAAAAUAUGUAAUCACCAAAUCAGGAAGGCAGUGUUUCUAGUGUGAUAUUUCUGUUUUCAUUCCUGCAACCAUCUUUGCAUUUGAACUCAGAAGUUUUCCUGUUUCAAUGAGCAUCAUGUAAAAUAAAGAAUUUUUUCCAAGCAACAUGCUGUGUAUAUAUGGGAUUCUUCUGUAAAAACACAGGCACAUGACAUACCUGGGUUCUGGAAAAAUCCAGGAAGACCUUAUUUGUCUCCCUGGUCUAGAACUUUAUUUGUCACUGGCCCAGAUCUUCUGUGAGAUAAGCCCUGCGUAAUGUCGUACGUCUGUGACUUACUGGCUAACACAGGUACAUCUGUAAAACUCAUACAAAUCCUUAACAUGCUAUUACCACAAUGGGAUAAUUAUAGCCUAGCACUUCACUCUCAACCAAAGGCAAUUCUGGAAACCAACUUGAAAGUCUUUUGUUUAUUUUUCUUUGUCAAUGGAUAAGGUCAAACGAAGUCAGUAUAACUUUUUUAGGUAACAGCAUAGCUGUGCCAUAUGCAACGGUGGCGAUUCAUCUGCUGGAAGGAAAGGCAAUUAGCAGGUGCAACAAAUGAGCAUCAUUAGGGCUUAAUGGGGCUUAAUGACCUUCCCAGAAUGCAGUGUGGAACAAACGUUUUGGCCAUCACAAGAGAGCAAACAGAGUGUUGGUCCAAGAGUGCCAGUUAAGGCGUCUCCUCCUCCUGUUUUCCCAAGCAGCAAUAAAUUUUGUGGAUGGUACAUGUUGGACCGAGAUACCAGGAGUUUCUCCUCUGCUAGCCCAUCAGGGGGCAGCUUCUGAGAAUAUCUUUGGAGAAAGUGACUCUAAGAAGUGCUGUACUUCCUUGUUCCUUGCCUGCAGGUGCCUGCAUGAGCUGGACUGUGCCUCUAGAGACUUUGGCACAAAAUAGGAUGUGUCAGAGGCAGAGCACAAUGCUAUUGGCAGUGAGGAGCACCUCAUUGGAUCCCUUAUUGCUGGGCAGCUUUG
rnacentral:lncRNA from 1 species